GACGAGCGCUGGCGGCGUGCUUAACACAUGCAAGUCGAACGGUAAGGCCCUUCGGGGUCCACGAGUGGCGAACGGGUGAGUAACGCGUGAGUAACCUGCCCUUCACUCUGGGAUAACAGUUGGAAACGGCUGCUAAUACCGGAUAUUCAGCUCCUGUCGCAUGGUGGGGGUUGGAAAGUUUUGGUGGUGGAGGAUGGGCUCGCGUCCUAUCAGCUUGUUGGUGGGGUGAUGGCCUACCAAGGCGUCGACGGGUAGCCGGCCUGAGAGGGCGACCGGCCACAUUGGGACUGAGAUACGGCCCAAACUCCUACGGGAGGCAGCAGUGGGGAAUAUUGCACAAUGGGCGGAAGCCUGAUGCAGCAACGCCGCGUGCGGGAUGACGGCCUUCGGGUUGUAAACCGCUUUCAGCAGGGACGAAGCGCAAGUGACGGUACCUGCAGAAGAAGCACCGGCUAACUACGUG
rnacentral:rRNA from 1 species